rnacentral:rRNA from 1 species
CGGGGUGAGUAACGUGUGGGCAACCUGCCCUGCACUGGGGAAUAAUCAUUGGAAACGAUGACUAAUACCGCAUACGGUUCCUGGGAGGCAUCUUCCGGGAAGGAAAGGAUUUAUUCGGUGCAGGAUGGGCCCGCAUCUGAUUAGCUAGUUGGUGAGAUAACAGCCCACCAAGGCGACGAUCAGUAGCCGACCUGAGAGGGUGACCGGCCACAUUGGGACUGAGACACGGCCCAAACUCCUACGGAAGGCAGCAG